UACGUAGGGGGCAAGCGUUGUCCGGAAUCAUUGGGCGUAAAGAGCGUGUAGGCGGCUCGAUAAGUCUGCUGUGAAAGUCUAGGGCUCAACCCUGGAAGGCCGGUGGAAACUGUCGGGCUAGAGUCCGGAAGAGGCGAGUGGAAUUCCCGGUGUAGCGGUGAAAUGCGCAGAUAUCGGGAGGAACACCAAUGGCGAAGGCAGCUCGCUGGGACGGUACUGACGCUGAGGAGCGAAAGCGUGGGGAGCAAACAGG
rnacentral:rRNA from 1 species